ensembl:lncRNA
GUGACUCAGUAACAAAGCUUAAAUUUAAAUAAGUUAAUAGCUGAUGGGUUGAUUUGAUUGGUGGCUUUGUUUCCUAGAAUCCAGGUGGAUUGAAUCUGUCAGUUUGAGCUGUCUAGGUGCUGCAUCUUGCCAUGCUUUAAUCCACAUCAGGGUUUGCAGGCAUUUAAGCAAGUGAUUUCUCCAGUGUUUUAAUACUUGUGUUUGUCCUGACCGCAUGUGCUUUAAAUUCUAUCAAUGACAUUUCCAAUGAGCUUCUUUUGUUCAAAUAAUUUGUAUUGUACGUAGCAGGUAACAUCCAAAAACAUGUUAUAAGAAAAAGGGCGUAGUCCAGAAAAGACUCAAGCUGUUUCAGCUGCCCACGUCCAAAAGCAUACAUGGCUGAAGCUGUGCAGCCCUGAGCCAGAGUCAGUGUUUUAACUUGCUUUCACCAAGCUGUGCCCUUUUGAGGUACAGAGCACUUAGCCAGGCCACCUUGGGUGGGUGACCUGCCUGCUUUCUACUUCUCUCCUGGAAGUGUGUGCUCCUGGUAAGGCUGAGAGCCCAACUUCAUGCUGUUCUGUGUGGCUGGGCGCCCUGCACAGCCUGUGCUCUGCAUACCCGCCUUCCAUCAGCCUGCCGAGCUUCGGAACAACUCUGGCCAUAUAUAAAAGUGCUCUCCUUGCUUGGCUGACUUUACAGGGUGACUGUGCAGCGUCUUUUAAAGCCAAUCAUUUUAAAGCUGUUCUGCUGUAUGAGGAGAGAAUUCAAGGUUUGUGUGUUAUGCCUAACACUGGACUUCAUGGAGGAGAUGAGCUCAAACCUUUGAGCGGUCAGUGGGACCUGUAGCCCUGCAUCCCACUUCUGUCAGGUGGUUCAGGUUCUCCUACAGCUGAGUUAGGGGCUGGCUGUCCUGUGAGCUGCUUCUCCAGACCUGUCUGUGCCUUUCUCCUUGGACAUUUUAUGGAUAAGAGAUGCCGUCUGGGACUUCAGCUGCUUUACAUGAGCUAUGGCAGGAAAGUAGUACUCCUCUGGAUAGCUGAGUAGCGAUGCUCAGCUGUCCUGGGCACAGGACCUGAAGGGCAGAAAGGGAGGGAACACAGCCCAGUUUCAGCUAUCUUGAGUUGUAUGUGCAGGGGAGCACUGCAGAGCAUAUCAGCUGCUCCUCGUGUGCUUGCUGUAGGGCUGUGGAUGGUGUUUUCCAGGAAAACUGGCCUGAUGAAGUGCUCCGUUAUUGCCAGCUGCUCUCUGCAGCUGCCUGCAUGGCAGGGAAGGGGGGGGAAUGACUCCAGUUAAAAAUAGACAGGGAGAUUAGGAAACUAAAGGUACGGUUUCGACAUUCAGCUGAGCUGCGCUGAUGACUCGCUGCCGCCACCGAAAGGGGAAGGACUUGCUUGUGCUUGUGUGACUGCGCAGCUGGUUUGGCUGCCUCACCCAGCAGAAAGGCCAGCCAGGAAAAUAGGAGUUUUCCACCAUGUGGUCACACAAGAGAGGAGGGUGGAGAUAUAGGGCCGGAGGGGAGGGGAUCUGAGUGCCUGCAAGAAGAUUGUUUAACUCCUCUGGAACAGAUAACCUGAGGUAUGCAGGAGCUGGAUUCAGGUUUUGGAGGUUUCUGGUUGACCCAGGCCAUCUGCACGAGAGCAAUCUCUGUCUCCUGCCUACAGAUAUGUUUUCCAUAUCUGAAUGUUUGAUGUAUGCAACAGUUUACUAUUGGAUAAAGAAGGAAUGUAUGUUCAAAAAUCAGGCUAGGGAUAGCUAUACCAGAAAUGAUGCUGAAUCUGUUUGUUCUCUUUUUCUUAUAUUUCUACUCUUGGGGCUUGGAGGCUUUUUGAUCUGGUUCUGCUGGGCUGGGCUUCAAAAGUAGUGUAUUCGAAAUAAAAUAUUUAUAUCUCUAAUGAGAUAUGAAAACAUAUUUUAGGUUGAGUUUUCUAAGCACACAAACCCAGUUUUCUUUUGCAUUAGCUGGAGCUCAAGGAAGGGCAGUCAGGAGGAAGCAGCUGUUGUGGUCUGGAUGCUAUCUAGUACAUGUCCAGGAACAAGACCAAAUAUUAAAUAUGGCAAUUAACUGAUUUAAGCCUUCAGUGCGGCUCUAUUUUUGCUGUACUUUCUGCUGGUUUUCAUUUUCCCAGUCUGCAUGAUUGUUUUUACAGAUGUGCUGGCGUAGGCAUUUUUGAGCUCCAUUACCAUUGGUCACAAGACUGCUCUCAGCUUCCCUAGGCAGAACUUCCCUUUCUGUUUCAAUAAAUGUGUGGUGUUUUUUGUUUUUUUUCCUUCUUUUUCUUUUUUUCUGUUUUUAAUUCUUGCUGCUACACUACUUGGCUUCCCAGAGUCUCACCACAGAUCUGGCUUUCUAACAAUAACUGACUUUUAGGUUUUCAAAGCAGGCAAAAGAAAGGCAGCCCAAACCACCUCAACUUGGUUAACCAAGCCAAAAUAUGGAACACUUGACGAGCAUUUUGUCUCUCUUCCUUCUUAUUUCCAUCCUUUUGCUCUAUCCCGUGCUCUCCCC